rnacentral:rRNA from 1 species
AGUGAACGCUGGCGGUAGGCCUAACACAUGCAAGUCGAACGGCAGCACAGUAAGAGCUUGCUCUUACGGGUGGCGAGUGGCGGACGGGUGAGGAAUACAUCGGAAUCUACUUUUUCGUGGGGGAUAACGUAGGGAAACUUACGCUCAUACCGCAUACGACCUACGGGUGAAAGCAGGGGAUCUUCGGACCUUGCGCGAUUGAAUGAGCCGAUGUCGGAUUAGCUAGUUGGCGGGGUAAAGGCCCACCAAGGCGACGAUCCGUAGCUGGUCUGAGAGGAUGAUCAGCCACACUGGAACUGAGACACGGUCCAGACUCCUACGGGAGGCAGCAGUGGGGAAUAUUGGACAAUGGGCGCAAGCCUGAUCCAGCCAUACCGCGUGGGUGAAGAAGGCCUUCGGGUUGUAAAGCCCUUUUGUUGGGAAAGAAAAGCAGCAGGUUAAUACCCCGCUGUUCUGACGGUACCCAAAGAAUAAGCACCGGCUAACUUCGCG